rnacentral:rRNA from 1 species
UACAGAGGGUGCGAGCGUUAAUCGGAUUUACUGGGCGUAAAGGGCGCGUAGGCGGUUAUGUGAGUGUGAUGUGAAAGCCCCGGGCUUAACCUGGGAAGUGCAUCGCAAACGACAUAACUGGAGUAUAAGAGAGGGUGGCGGAAUUUCCGGUGCAGCGGUGAAAUGCGUAGAGAUCGGAAGGAACGUCAAUGGCGAAGGCAGCCAUCUGGCUUAAUACUGACGCUGAGGCGCGAAAGCGUGGGGAUCAAACAGG